UUCCUGAAUCUUCAUGAAUCUAAGCCCGCACUACACCACUGAGCUGCCUCUACCUCCGCCCCCUGCAGGGCUUUCUGCAAAACCUGCGCUAGUCCAUCCUACUGCAAUGACGCGGAAGAGAAAGGGAAGAGGUGUGAGGCAGAAGCAGAGGCCUGGGAAUGAGGGACGGAUCUGCAGAAGUAUUUAAACUCCUUUUCCCGUUUGGAAUCCCAUUCUUAGACCAGCAGCGCGGUGGCGGGUUCUUAAACCCCUGUAACCAUGUGUGCCCUCAUCUUCCUUGCCGGUGAGGCUGAGCUGCCUUCUCAGGCCCGAUGAGCUCCGAGGAACGGUGAUACCUCCCCAGGCAGAACUACGUCCCACAACUUAUCAUCAGAUGCUAAUGAGCCCUAACACUGCCACCUCGUGCUCUUCUAGUUCUCCUCUCGUAUUUCCCAGUAGUGUUAACCACGAAAUAACAACGUUGUCACCUAAACCAAAGAGAGGUAACUGACAAAAAACCACAGUUCCUUUUAUUAGAAAUGUUAAUUUAAUGUUAA